rnacentral:lncRNA from 1 species
UUUGAGAUUUUCCACAGUUCUUUCCAAACCCUAUUCACUUUUACGCCUUCAUACGUUCCUGAUCCAUCCAUCAUUUAUUCAUGCCUAAUCAUCUUCGCAAGAUCUUAUAAUCUACUCCGUCGCCGUCCAAAAAGUUCAUGAUUCUCGAUUUUUAGUCAAGAUACCAUAGGUAAAGCUUCUUUAGUUUUUUAUUUAGCAUGAUUUUUGAGGUUUAAUUUCAAGAUUUUAUGGUCGUUUUGUUGGGUUUUGUUUGAAUUUAUAUGAAACAUUCGUUUAGGUUAAGGUACAAUUUUGCAGUUUUUAGUGCAAAUUAUUAUUUAGGUUAAGGUACAAUUUUGCAGUUUUUUCUUUAAUAAUGUAUAAUUAGGUUACGAACUGAUUGUGGAUUUGGAUUUUAGGUUUUGAAUCUUUAGUGUGAUGGAUAUAUGAUCAGUUUUUUAUUUUUAUUUUUAUAAUGCAUAUUAUUAUUGAGGUUAAGACUACGAAUCCGAAGAAGUAUUGUGUCCGUCCCAACACCGGAGUUGUUUCACCUAAAUCAACAUGUGAAAUUAUAGAGUGAUCAAAAUCUUGUGAUGGCUUCAAAGAGGAUAUCACGAGGAGUUUGUGGCAGCGUGGGGUCCGGGAAAUCGAGCUUUAUUUCUUGUAUUCUUCGUGAAAUCCUGAAAAUAUCCGGUGAAGUUCGAAUUUGAGUCAUGAUCUACAUCAAGAUUUAAGACCCCUGUUAAUCGUCUCUAUAAAUAUACGUACAGCUUCAACUCGUUCCAAACCAUUCACCAGCCUUACGCUCUCACCAUUGUUUUUAACCUCUGAAACCAACCUUCUUCUCGGCAACCUGCGACGACAUCACUACCAAGUUUGAAACGCACGCGAACCGUUGUACCAGGCUGAAGGUUUUUUUACAAUUAAUGCAGACAAUAACCAGGAAGAACAUCCGAGAAACCAGUUGAACAGUGGAGUGGUUCCAGAUAGUAUUGAUGUACACUGUUUGGCUGGUCUUAUCAAGGUGUAUGAUGAUUGUUGUAUUAAUAUUUCAUUUAGUUUUUUAAUUUUAUGAUUAAGUUGAU